UGGGGAAUUUUGGACAAUGGGCGCAAGCCUGAUCCAGCCAUGCCGCGUGCGGGAAGAAGGCCUUCGGGUUGUAAACCGCUUUUGUCAGGGAAGAAAUCUUCUGAGUUAAUACCUCGGGAGGAUGACGGUACCUGAAGAAUAAGCACCGGCUAACUACGUGCCAGCAGCCGCGGUAAAUACGUAGGGUGCAAGCGUUAAUCGGAAUUACUGGGCGUAAAGCGUGCGCAGGCGGUUUUGUAAGACAGAGGUGAAAUCCCCGGGCUCAACCUGGGAACUGCCUUUGUGACUGCAAGGCUUGAGUGCGGCCGAGGGGGAUGGAAUUCCGCGUGUAGCGUGAAAUGCGUAGAUAUGCGGAGGAACACCGAUGGCGAAGGCAAUCCCCUGGGCCUGCACUGACGCUCAUGCACGAAAGCGUGGGGAGCAAACAGGAUUAGAUACCCUGGUAGUCCACGCCCUAAACGAUGUCAACUGGUUGUUGGGAAGGUUCCUUCUCAGUAACGUAGCUAACGCGUGAAGUUGACCGCCUGGGGAGUACGGCCGCAAGGUUGAAACUCAAAUGAAUUGACGGGG
rnacentral:rRNA from 1 species